rnacentral:sRNA from 20 species
GUAAGCAACCCCGCUCUGAAGAGACGGGGCUUCAGCUAAGAAAUUAGUCGAAGCCGUGCUUACCAGCCUAAGACUUAGUUGUCUACGUUAUCGGCAAGUGUUGAAGUUCCUACCAAGGGAUGCGUAGCUAGUCCCUUGCUCUAGA